UCCAUUCUGUAAUCUUACUGGAGGCCUG
rnacentral:sRNA from 1 species